AUGUUAUGUAUUGCUGGUGACAUUUUAUGUAUUGCUUUGGUUUGUCCACAGUCAACCAAAUUAUGGAGUUUCAGUCAUAUAUGUUGUCUGUUAUUUCAUACUCGCCGGUCUCCGACCGCCGGCGUCGGCAGCACCGCCGCCUCCUCCAACACUCUUUGUCGGCCGCCCGCGUGCCGGUGCGAGGAAGCCAUGGAGCUGAGGGAGCAGGCGCAAAAUCUAUGGUACACAUCAAAUCGAAUCAAUAGUGGUUUUCUACAGGCACAUCAGUGCAAAAAAAUGACAAUUGAUAGCCUCUCCUUUUAG
rnacentral:rRNA from 1 species